AGUGAACGCUGGCGGUAGGCCUAACACAUGCAAGUCGAACGGCAGCACAGUAAGAGCUUGCUCUUACGGGUGGCGAGUGGCGGACGGGUGAGGAAUACAUCGGAAUCUACUUUUUCGUGGGGGAUAACGUAGGGAAACUUACGCUAAUACCGCAUACGACCUACGGGUGAAAGCAGGGGAUCUUCGGACCUUGCGCGAUUGAAUGAGCCGAUGUCGGAUUAGCUAGUUGGCGGGGUAAAGGCCCACCAAGGCGACGAUCCGUAGCUGGUCUGAGAGGAUGAUCAGCCACACUGGAGCUGAGACACGGUCCAGACUACUACGGGAGGCAGCAGUGGGGAAUAUUGGACAAUGGGCGCAAGCCUGAUCCAGCCAUACCGCGCGGGUGAAGAAGGCCUUCGGGUUGUAAAGCCCUUUUGUUGGGAAAGAAAAGCAGCAGGUUAAUACCCCGCUGUUCUGACGGUACCCAAAGAAUAAGCACCGGCUAACUUCGUG
rnacentral:rRNA from 1 species